GCCUCUUUAGCGCAGUCGGUAGCGCGUCGGUCUCAUAAUCCGGAGGUCAUCAGUUCGAUCCUGAUAGGGGGCA